rnacentral:rRNA from 1 species
UGGGCGUAAAGCGCAUGCAGGUGGUUUGUUAAGUCAGAUGUGAAAGCCCGGGGCUCAACCUCGGAAUUGCAUUUGAAACUGGCAGACUAGAGUACUGUAGAGGGGGGUAGAAUUUCAGGUGUAGCGGUGAAAUGCGUAGAGAUCUGAAGGAAUACCGGUGGCGAAGGCGGCCCCCUGGACAGAUACUGACACUCAGAUGCGAAAGCGUGGGGAGCAAACAGGAUUAGAUACCCUGGUAGUCCACGCCGUAAACGAUGUCUACUUGGAGGUUGUGGCCUUGAGCCGUGGCUUUCGGAGCUAACGCGUUAAGUAGACCGCCUGGGGAGUACGGUCGCAAGAUUAAAACUCAAAUGAAUUGACGGGGGCCCGCACAAGCGGUGGAGCAUGUGGUUUAAUUCGAUGCAACGCGAAGAACCUUACCUACUCUUGACAUCCAGAGAACUUUCCAGAGAUGGAUUGGUGCCUUCGGGAACUCUGAGACAGGUGCUGCAUGGCUGUCGUCAGCUCGUGUUGUGAAAUGUUGGGUUAAGUCCCGCAACGAGCGCAACCCUUAUCCUUGUUUGCCAGCGAGUAAUGUCGGGAACUCCA